rnacentral:lncRNA from 1 species
CUCACGGCGUUCACGGAUAAACACACGCCCUCCGUUCACCCGGGAAGGAGCCGUGUGAUCCUCACGAGGAAUUAAACAACAGCAGCAGAGAGAGAACUGGCCAGAAUGGGGAUAUCUGAGCACUUCUGAGCACCCUGUGUCUUAAAGGCCCACUGCCCUGGAAAAUACCAGCCACAGGUUAACAGCCCCAGCUCUCGCCUAAGGGCAGACGAUUCCCGGCCUCCCACGUGCCUGAUGCAGGACCCCGAGAGGAUUUCCCAGUCCCAGGCUGAGCCCCACCUUCAAGUCCUCGGGCCUGACGGACCCCCUUAUCCCACUUGAGGGGCACCUGCGGCUGCAGCUUGGGCUUUCCAGGGUGUGCUCUAUCUG